rnacentral:rRNA from 2 species
ACGCCCGGUCACAUUCCGAACCCGGAAGCUAAGCCCUCCAGCGCCGAUGGUACUGCACUCGGGAGGGUGUGGGAGAGUAGGACACCGCCGGAC